UGCCAGUGAGGACCAUGCAUCCUGUCUUAAUCCCUGUUCUAGCCCCAGAGCCAGUAAUGGUGAACCCACUGGGGCAGCUGGGAGAAAAGAUAGAUAACUUGUUCUAUAAGGAACUGUCUGAGACAC